rnacentral:lncRNA from 1 species
AGUAGUGUUCUCCUAUCUCCGGUGCGCGUGCUGAGAGCACGGCACGUCUAUGGAGAUAAAAAUUUUAUGUACAAGAGUGAAUGGUUUGUCCGCGACUGGAUAUGGAUGGAGCGGAUCUUUAAGCUGCUAUUCAUGGAGCGGAACCUGUGUAAGCACUGUCAUAGAUUUGGUGCUUGGGGGUGGUGUAAUGUAUUUCCUUCCCCAUUGUUCUUCUUCUGAUCGUCUUGUAUUUUCUUUUAUAUAUAUAUAUGUAUUAAAAGUACUGUCUUUUACCUUGUAUAAAUAGUCCUGUAUUUUAUGUAUUAAUUAGAGUAGGUUUUUGUAUUAUAAAGAAUACAGAUGUUCCUUUAAUAAUUAUUGUAUUAUUUCAUUUCCUCCACGCUAUUCCUUCUUCUCAUUUCUCUCGGUCGUCCUGGAUUCAUCGUUAUAAAUAAGUUUGUGUCUCCUCUCCCUCGUCAAGACACAACAGCAAUUUUGGUUGCCCAUUUGGACGGCGGACAUUUCUGCGGGAGACCUUACCUUGUUGACUUGAUUGAUAUUGAGAUUGCAAACGCAAACAAUGUAAAGAUCGUCGUCUUAAGCUCAGUUUAUAAGUUAUUGGGCGUAGAUUUUGUGCAAAGUAGACUUAAAAUUUGCAUCACUGAGGCCGCCUCGUAUUGUCUCAAAGCAGGAGAAGUCUUCGAAAAAAAUUCUCGAACUUAAUUCACAUAGCAUGUGUUGCGCAUGGAUUACAUAGGGUUGUUGAUAUGGUUCAACAAAAGUUUCCUCGAACGAACGAACUUAUUUCCAAUGAAAGAUGCUUUUGAAUUCUGGAAGAAGAAAGCGAGUAUUUACUGGUUCAUACGAAAUUUACCUACCUCCAUCACCAAUUAUAAAAAGAUAGGGAUAAGCAUUGGAGUACUACUACCAUCACUUAGAAGUCUUAAGAGAAUAAUUAAACAACCUUGAUGAAGAUUUGCCAUCACCAGAAGAGUACAAGAAGUAAUUAAUAAUAGUUCCAUACGAGACGAAAUCGUAUAUAUGUAGGAAAAUAGUUGUCAAAUAUCUUUGACAAUAACUGCGUUUGAGGAAAGAUUGCCUCUUCUUACAAUUCUUACCAUUGUAGAAAAUAUGACUCAAGAUUUUUUGGAAGAGCCUUUCAAAAACAGGUUAAAAGAACCCUGGCUACACUUAACCAAAAGAACUCGCAACAAGUGAAAACCUUGUAUACAAAAAAACUCCUAAUCGUCAAUUUUGAUGCUCAGAGAGUCUUCAGUAUGAUGAAUACGAUCAAUACGAAAAGGAGGUACAAAGUAAGUACUAAGAAAUUGAAGAAAUUAUUGAUCAUCAAAUGGAAUUAAUGUUUUAUUUCGAGCCAAAGUUAUCUAUUCAUCCUUUAAGGUUACCAAAAAGUCAUAGAUAUACUUCCUCUAAUGAUGGGUUUGAUGCUUUCUUAAUGAACUGACAUUAUAUUUUGUCUUGCAUACAUUGCAAAUAUCUAGAGCCUCAUGGAUAAAUUAUUAUAGUUAGCACAUAACUUACUAAUAUAUUAUUUACGAUUUGUUAUAUCCAUCUUAUGUAUUGAUAUUCGUUACCUAGUUUUUAUGUUAUGCCAAUUAAUACUAUUUGUAUAUAACUAUAUUGUAUAUUAUAAUAAAUUAUAACUAUCAUUAAGACA